UGCAAUUCAAAUGGCCACGUCGAAAAAGUAUGUCUGUUCUUCCAAGGAAUGUAACUCUAUAACCACAGAGUAUACAGAGGCCGGACUCCGGCUAAUAAAUUGGCACUCCUAUCUAUCCUUGUUCAACAAAUGAAAAAUGCGUAUGGUACUUUCUCUCUCACAUAAACUGAAACUGUGUAGAUGGCGCAAUUGUCGCGUUACAGUAGUAUUUAAACAAACCAAUAGAUGGCACCACUUAUUUCAAAAUUUUUAACUCGUAGAGUUAAGAGAAAGCAAUAGAUGGCGCUAUGUAUUUUAAGUAGUAAAUCUGUAAAUCCCACAGUUACGUCCAGUUCUGUCAGAACUAACGAACUUUCUGUGUUUUGUUUAAUUAUUGUGCAGUUUUGCGUGUUUAUCGUUUGAUUAUAUAAACUACUAAACAAAUCUGUAUCGUUUGAUUAUAGAUUUGUUUAGCAGUUUAUUUGUUUGCAUAAUUUAGUUUUCCUUAGUUUUAUUGUCAUACUUUGUUAUCUUAGAAUUAGUUGGUUUUUGGUGGUAAAGUAAGGACCAAAAUGGAUAGGAUUUGCUAUAUUUGCGGACGUUCGGUAGAGGAAGUGGUCAAGUUAUUUUGAUUUCCAUUAAAUACCAAUAAACAGCGAUCAUGGAAUGAGUGCCUUGGUGUUCCUGUAGAAAACAUAUAUUCUAGCCGAAUGACAAUUUGCAAUAAUCAUUUUACAAUGGAAAGUUUUAUGUUGAAUAGGAAUUUUAAAGAACAAAGAGAAACAGAUCUGGAGACUUAAGAAGAAUUAUGAAAAUAAAACCACAUUACUGAGAGAUAUGUUAAACAAACCAGAAUAUUUUACUCAGGUUUUUAAAGGUAAUAAUGUUUACUUUCCAAUUAUCUAAUCAUGAAUUAAGGCAAUAUAUUUAAGUCUUAGUUGUGAUUAUAGUUAAAGCAAUGCAAACCAUGAUUAUGAUAAAUGAUGAACUAAGAACUUAAAACUAUGACUAAGACUAAAGCAUGUUACAUGAAUCCUGUUCCUUUUGUUUUGUUUUAGUGCUGAUAAAUUUUGCUAGGUUUGUUAUUGUUUCGCUCACUUUAAUAUUAGAUUAACUUUAAGUUAUAGUAAUAAUAAUAAAGCAUUAAUUAAGUUUCAAAUAUUUUUGCAUUUUAAUUGAUAGGAACAGAAACAAAUAAAAAGAAAUAUUAAAGUUUUAUAUCAAUUGUUAAUUCGGAAACAAUAAUUAUUUUAUAACUAAAACAACAUUUUAUCACUAAUACUGUGUACUGCUCAUUUUCGCUGUAAUACUUGUAAUUUUAGUUGCUCUGUAGUAUUUUUUUAUUCUGGCUGUCUUAAAUCUGUUGUUUACAAUAACAAUUCGUAUUCCUAAAUUUGUCUAGAAGUUUAUUUGACUUAUGGUAUGCUAGAGUUUUUCAUGGGUUUUCCUCUAGCCUUGAAGCAAAUGCUUUACCAUUGUACAAAAACGCACCCUUUUGCCAUGAAAACGAUUAAAUAUUUAAAAAUUUAUAGUUGUAAAUUUUUGUCUAUAAAUAUACAUAGAUUUCUUCUUCUGAAA
rnacentral:lncRNA from 1 species